rnacentral:misc_RNA from 1 species
AAUGUCGUAACAAGGUUUCCGUAGGUGAACCUGCGGAAGGAUCAUUACCGAGGGGUAGGGGUCUCCGCGCCCCCCAGGGGGGUUUUACGGCCCCCAAAUCUCUUCACCCACUGUUUACCUACCUUUGUUGCUUUGGCGGGCCCUGGGGCACGCCCCAACGCUGGCUUUCGGGCCUGUGAGCGCCCGUCAAAGGCCCAUUAAACUUCCUUUAAAUCAGUGUUGUCCGGCAAAAAAGCACAAUAGUAGGAA